rnacentral:lncRNA from 1 species
GGCAAUGAUUUUUAAACAAUGGCAAAAAGGUGACACUUGAUUGUAUUACAUAGAACCCAGCAACCGUUCACAAUGACAAACAAGGAUAUCGAAUCAAAUCAAAACCCAGUCUGCUAAUUCACAUAGAUUUUAUCAAUAAAGCCAAAUAACCUAUUACAGAUUCAGGUUUCUGACGACAACCCCAGACGAUGAUUUAGAUUGAAAAGUGCAAAAAGAAGCUGC